AAGUCUAUGAUGAAGACACCUUUUCAAUAAAUCUUUAAAUCUCUCCCAUGUAAUCAUACAGUGCGUCAAGGUCAAUUUGAACAAAAGAAGAGAUGUUAUUCCUCAACUU
rfam:Gossypium arboreum cultivar AKA8401 contig_3296_7, whole genome shotgun sequence.